UCUAGCGACCACUGCCAAACACUUUCUUGGCCGCUGAUGGUACUUUUCUCCCCCUUUUUUUUCUUUACGUGGCCUGAUAGGAGCUAUUUAAAUCAGCCACGCAGCGAAUCAGAUGUGUCUCCCAACACUGCGCUCCGCUCUCCUUCCUGCGCCUCAAGUGACCGGAGAAGCGCAAAAAUCCACCAGCAAAGCGAUGUCCCUUUUAUUUGGCGCUGAAUGGAAUAAAGUACUUUUUAGUUUUUCUUUUACAGGUAAGCUCUAAAAAACCUUGACGUGUAAGUUAUUCAGAUAUUUUCUGGAGAUGCUGUUGCUCCUUUUUUUUCUCUUUACAGUGAGGAAUAAAAGUUUUUGGCUUCAACUGAGUUGGUGAAGUGGAUGAAAAAAAAAAUAUAUGAUCCUGUGUUUUUCAGGCAAUCCUCGGAGUGGAACGCGUGGCUUCACGGUGGUGAAAACAAAGGAUAAAAGAUUCUUGGAGAGGGAAUGGAAGAACAAGGGAGGGCACUGAGGGUUGGUGCAGAGAUUUGUGAUCCACCCGGACUCCACCCUGACCAAUAAUCAACUUGGAACCGAGCGGGAUCAGAGCGGGUUUCCCAUAAAGUCUGCGGCCGCAGGGACUGACUGCAGAGGACAGGGCAUAAAGAGGACGAUGAUACACUACGUAUACAUGUGUGGUGCCUGACUUUUAGCAUCUGUUCUUUCUUAAUCUUUGCUCAGACUACAAUCUUGCUUCAUAUUCUUUUUGUUAGCUGGAGUGUAUUCAAAGAGGAUGUGUUUCAUGCACUGCAUUUAUUCCUUUUUCCUUGGCUGUGAAAGAAAAUUUUCUGUUGAGGCAAUAAAAUUUAAGUGAAAUCAAACGCUCCUU